AUAUAUAGUUUAUAAUAAAAUUGAGAAUGGAAAUGGGGAAUGUGUCAAAGAGACAACAACCCGACCAAAAUAAAAAAAAAAAACACAACAGCAGAAGGUCACCAACAGGUCUUCAAUGUAGCGAGAAAUUCCCGCACCCGGAGGCGUCCUUCAGCUGGCCCCUAAACAAAUAUAUACUAGUUCAGUGAUAAUGAACGCCAUACUAAUUUCCAAAUUGUACACAAGAAACUAAAAUUUAAAUAAUACAAGACUAACAAAGGCC
rnacentral:lncRNA from 1 species